UGUGAUGGUGGGAAUUUCUUUUGAAAGAGUCAAGCCCAUGCUGUGCAGGCUGCACCCAUCUUUACUGCAUUCCCAUAAAAGGCUUGGGGGAAGGAAGUUAAACCAUAACCCCGUUAGGUAAUAGGCUAUGCAUUAAUGCAAUUUAUCUGGAAUGAGGAAGGAAGAGAUUCAGCUUUGAAAGAAUUUCCUCAACAGCAUAUUCCUCUUUGCUGCAAAGCUGUUUCACUUCAGGUGAGACCCAGGAAGCAGCCUGGGAAUUCCUUGACCAUCGAUACCAAAGGCUUUCUGGAGGUGUGCAGUCUCUAGGGAUUUGAGGGUGUCGCCCAACAGUCAGUGUGAUUUUACAACCAGUUCUCUCUAGGCUAAUUUCUAACGCAGGGAAUGAGAAUGGUCAUGCUGAAAAGUGGUAGAGAGAUUUGACUCGCCUGAUUGCAAGGACCAGGUCUACCACCCAGUAAUUGUGUGGACUAGAAGGUGGUGGAGUGAGUAGUGACCUCUGAAGAGUGUGACCUCUCAAGCCAACUGCUUGAGCUCCAAUUCUGCCUCUGCUACUUUGUGACUGUGUAGCCCUGGGAAAGUUAUUUUACCUCUCUGUGCCUCAGUCAUUUCCUCUAUAAAAUAGGUCUCUAUAUGGACCUACCUUAUAAGGUUGCUGUGAGUGGCACAUGCAAAUGUGUUUAUAAAGUAUAUCCCAUGGUAUGUGGCGUAAUUUAUUUUUUGAGGGGAGAUAGUGAGGUGCUAGUUACACACUGGGAUGAGGUAGAUCCUUGUUUGGAUCUCAGCCUUGCUGCUCCCUGGGUAGGUGGCUUUGGAUCGCUGC
rnacentral:lncRNA from 1 species